AUAUUAUAUAUCGAACCCUCUUUUUUUGAGUGGUUUGGAUGUGGGGUUGCUGGCCUCUUGAAGGGGUCAGCUUCCCUGAAAUGCAUUAGCAGAACAGCCUGUUCGUUCCAUUGGUGUGAUAACUAUCUACGCUAUUGAAUGAUGAAGGCAAGUUCAGCUUUCUAACCGUCUUUUGGACAAUUUAUCAUCUAU
rnacentral:misc_RNA from 1 species